rnacentral:lncRNA from 10 species
CAAAACAAAACAAAAUUAGAAUGUAAGAAACAUAAACAGAAGACCAGUUGAAUCAUAUUAGACCAGCUGCCACAGAACGUUGAGCGGAGAAGUUCCUUCAGAGGGAUAUUCGGAUUGUUUAUUUCAUCUUCUUUGACUUCAUUUAUAUAUUUUUCAACAACAGAUGGAUUAGUACUAGCUGUGUCUCCAUGCAUGAAUGUUUUAUACAGGUUUUUCUCAGCUAAAAGAUCUCAAAAGUGUUGGAAAUUCAAGACAAUGAAAUGUUAAUCGGCACUAAAAAGAAACGAGCUAUCAAGCUAUGAAAAGACAUCAUUAAGCCUUUAAACCUCCAAGAAGCAUUCUCUUCCUUUCAUCCCAGCUGCCACUGCCUGAGUUGAGAAUAUUUUGGACUACUAGGGUAUCCUUUUAACAAGCUGCUAACAGGCUUUUCUGCUUUCAGUGAGUCUUUUACCUAUAUUACGGGUGAAAAUAUGAUUUUUUCUCCUUUACAAAACAGACUCUAAUGAUUUCUCCCCUUAAUCUUGAGCAUAGAAUCUGCAAUUAUUA